AUGCUACUGAGAGUUCUCGUUGAUGAGCCCCUCAGCAGUGGAGCAGCCGAACGAGGCUUCCUGGUAAGUGAUGCAAGCCUCCUGGCGGUGCUGGCACGUCUGGAGAACAUGCACGUGUGCGUGAUCGGCGUGACGACGUCCGCGGGCGGGUCAAAGGUCAUCCGGGACCUUCUCGCGUUGCUGACGCGUUUCGUGGACCUCCUGGUGGGCGUGUCCAGGAUGGCGCUGUCAGCCGGAGGGUUGAAGGUCAGCCGGGCGCGGGUGGAGCCAAGGGGGGUGCCGACGGGGACAGCGUCCCGACGAGGGUUGGUCUGGGCAGACCCACUGGGGGGUGUCAUGCCGGGAGACGCAGGAGCUGGCAGAGGGGGCGUGGCGAGGGUCCGGCGCCGUUGCAGGGCGGAAGCGCUGGUCUGGGCAAACACAUGGGGAGGUGUCGUGCCGGGAGAUGCAGGAGCUGGCAGAGGGGAAGUGGCGAGGGUCCGGCACCAGGGCAGGGCGGAGGUAGGCGUCGUCCUCUGCGGCAGGGGCGCGGCCGGAGGGGGUCUCGAGCCUGCAGCAGGGCGUCCGCGUGUCCUGGCGGAGGCGGUGGCCGUACUGGCGAGCGGCCCAGGAGGCAGCCACAUCAAAGUUGCGCCGCCAGGCAGGGUCCGCAAGGCAGGAGAGCUCACUCACCUUCUGGGCCACCGUAGCCCUGUAGUGGUCCCGCAGGAGGAUGGUGGUGGUGUGUCCCCAGUUGCGAGCGUUGCCAUCAAUGAAGCCAAGGGUCGCGGCGUUGGGGACAGCAGGGCGGCUGCGGAUGGAGGCCGUCAAGGAGCCGGUGAGCCUGGCGAUGAUGGGGAGAGGGUCCGGGCCGGAGGCGUUGUCCAGGUGGUGGGCCGCCUUGAUGGCCGCGAGGAUGAGGCGGUUCUUGAGCGCGAAGUCCGGGUCAUCGGAACGGGGGAAGUCCGUAGUUACAGACUCUCAGAGGUCAUUCGUUAUUUGAUUGUCCUUGUUGGACCGUAUGUAGGCAAUGCUACACAAAGGAGCCGUGCAUUUACUGUUGCGCAGUGUGUCUGUGUUUCAAGUUCAAUGGUGGCCCCACAUGUUCAACGUACAUUAACCAUGGAUAGUCAAGCGCCGUGUUGUCCAUUAUCCCUUACAUAA
rnacentral:lncRNA from 1 species